rfam:Medicago truncatula strain A17 chromosome 4, whole genome shotgun sequence.
UGCGGAAGUUUUCCUCGGUAGUUAACUGCAGUCAGUUCCAAUAAAAUUCGACAGUUAGCUGCCGAGGGACAU